rnacentral:rRNA from 1 species
GACUGCUCUGAAGUGCUCAAUACUGCUUGAUCUCAAAAGCUAAGCAGGGAUUGGUUUGGUUAGUACUUGGAUGGGAGACUACCUGGGAAUACCAGUUGCUGUAAGUU